rnacentral:miRNA from 1 species
CAGCAGACACAUUCCAGCCAAUCAGCAGCAGACCCUCCCUCGCACACCCUCCCACCUCCUGGACAGCAUCCAUUUUACAUUCAUUGUGAAGCUGCAUUCUUAGUGAGCUGUCCAGGAGGUGGGAGGGUCUGGGAGGGAGGGUCUGCUGCUGAUUGGCUGGAAUGUGUCUGCU